AACCCAACCCAAUACAUUUCCAUUUGGAUUUCAUCUCCAUCCGUCCCUCCCUUCCUGUGCAUAUUAGCUACUCACUCUUCACAACAUCAUUUAACUCAUUGAUUGCGGCAUUCUGCUCUGCUCUACUGAAUAAUAAGGAAGUGUUACCAGCACAACCAAUGAGAAUGCAAACACAAAAUUGGACAGUAGAUUCAAUCUGAACGAAAGCCAUUCCAUUGCUGAUACAUUAUGAAACCAUGGUCUUGAGUGGCUGUCUAUAAGAUCAAGGUUUGCUUUAAUAAAACGGUCUUCUUGAUCAAAAGCACGAAUCGUGGCUGCUCCUGCUAGUGACUCUGCAAAGUGGUGAAGAAUUGGAGCUCUCUGUAUUCCUGCCAAGCGGGCCAAUUCUCUAGCUGUUGAUUGCUGUUACUGGAAUGAAGAUUACAAAUACCUCCCACGCAACCUGGGACAUUACUGCAAUGGUCCCUAGUAUCUGUAUUAUUGAGAAAGCACACCAACCUAGUUUGGUUGCCAUUUCCAAAUCUAGCACACUUUGGUCCAUAGAUGCCUACAAAAGAUUAAAUGUCGUAUUUUCAACUUUGGCAUUUUAAAUAAAUAAUUAAAAUUCUCCAGCUUCACUAAGUAUAUCAGAAGCAUAAUCUUCAAUCCUUGGAAAAUACAAUUUUGGCUUGUCCACCUCCUGGGAUCUACUAUGGUUUUAUGAGAUACUUUCUUAUUGGCUACAA